GAGGGAAACGAAACUCCUUAGGGCUUUCAGGAGUAUUCGAGCAACGAGUUACAACAGAUUUAUUUAUUAUCUGGGUCAAGGUCCAGGCACCGUUUUUGUUAUUUUACCUUCCGCGUCACGCGCGAUAAAAGAUAAGAGAGGAAGCUGAAGGUAGGCAGGCAGGCAGCGGUGAGGAAGCAGCAGCCCCGAAAGCGGAAAGAGUCUACUUACCGGCCAUUUCGGACACCGGAUUUUUUCAACUCUUUAUAAUAAACGUACUUCAACCGAAACUACCUUGUAUAGUAAAGAGAAAAAUUAUUUAAAAUAAAACCGAUGUUAGCGGA